GGUUCCGGGGCGUACUCUGAUCCGCGCGUGCGCUGGGGGAAGCCGGUCGAAUGCCGGCGCUGACCCGCAACGGUAGGGCGUCCCGAGGACGUCGAGCCCGAACACCCGGCGGACGUGGACAAGCCAC
rnacentral:ncRNA from 2 species